AAAACCUUCAAAAUUCCAAGGAUCUACCACCCAAACAGCUGCAAAGCAUUGUGACAACCCAGCCCUGGCCAUGUUCUUAGAUUUCUAUUUCCACGUGUGACUCAGCCAAUGUCUCCUGCUCUUGUGAUGCCAAGGGCUGAGCUCCAUCCCCCCAGGGCCACCUGUGGACCACCGAGGCUGAUGGCAGUCAGAGCUGAGGACCAAUGAGCCAUGAUAAAAUGUCAAGAAUUCAGAGCAAGGGCGGCUGGCUCCUUUCGUCCCUUCACUUGACCACUGCCCCUUCUCAAGCACCCUGCACUGCCAUCAGAGCCUACUUCUCUCCCGUAAGGAGGAAACAGCAGAGCAACAGAGCUAAUGCUGCUCUGUAUCUCAAGCCUCCCUCACCUCCUCUGCCUGCAAGUUAGAUGAUGUAAGACAGCCUUAGGACACUGCCGCUGUGUUGUUUCCACUACCCUACCACAGAGACUCGCAGUCCCAGACACCAGCACCAGCCCAGCUGGCCUUCAGGAACUAGGCUAACAUCAGUAUUUUUUGCAGGCAAUUUAACCAAGUUUGCGACUCUGGCAAGAUGCUCAGUGCAGCACUGCAAAUAACACCAAAGAGAAUGGAUCAAUGUAAUGCCCUAUUGACAAAGUCUGAACUCUAAUACAUAUACUUUGUACAUUUUUAUUGUGUUCAUGUAUGUUGAUUCAUAGCUGUUUU
rnacentral:lncRNA from 1 species